rnacentral:rRNA from 1 species
ACAUCCAGCGAAUUCGGUAGAGAUACCUUAGUGCCUUCGGGAACGCUGAGACAGGUGCUGCAUGGCUGUCGUCAGCUCGUGUUGUGAAAUGUUGGGUUAAGUCCCGCAACGAGCGCAACCCUUAUCCUUUGUUGCCAGCGGUCCGGCCGGGAACUCAAAGGAGACUGCCAGUGAUAAACUGGAGGAAGGUGGGGAUGACGUCAAGUCAUCAUGGCCCUUACGAGUAGGGCUACACACGUGCUACAAUGGCGCAUACAAAGAGAAGCGACCUCGCGAGAGCAAGCGGACCUCAUAAAGUGCGUCGUAGUCCGGAUUGGAGUCUGCAACUCGACUCCAUGAAGUCGGAAUCGCUAGUAAUCGUAGAUCAGAAUGCUACGGUGAAUACGUUCCCGGGCCUUGUACACACCGCCCGUCACACCAUGGGAGUGGGUUGCAAAAGAAGUAGGUAGCUUAACCUUCGGGAGGGCGCUUACCACUUUGUGAUUCAUGACUGGGGUGAAGUCGUAACAAGGUAGGCGUAGCGAG